rnacentral:rRNA from 1 species
AUUGAACGCUGGCGGUAUGCUUAACACAUGCAAGUCGAACGGUAGCAGGCCUUCGGGCGCUGACGAGUGGCGGACGGGUGAGUAACGCGUAGGAAUCUGCCUUUUAGUGGGGGACAACUUAGGGAAACUUAAGCUAAUACCGCAUACGCCCUACGGGGGAAAGCGGGGGACCUUCGGGCCUCGCGCGAAAAGAUGAGCCUGCGUUGGAUUAGCUAGUUGGCGGGGUAAAGGCCCACCAAGGCGGCGAUCCAUAGCUGGUCUGAGAGGACGAUCAGCCACACUGGGACCGAGACACGGCCCAGACUCCUACGGGAGGCAGCAGUGGGGAAUUUUGGACAAUGGGCGAAAGCCUGAUCCAGCAAUGCCGCGUGCAGGAAGAAGGCCUUCGGGUUGUAAACUGCUUUUGUACGGAGCGAAAAGGUCUCCUCUAAUACAGGGGGCUCAUGACGGUACCGUAAGAAUAAGCACCGGCUAACUACGUGCCAGCAGCCGCCGUAA